rnacentral:rRNA from 1 species
AUUGAACGCUGGCGGCAGGCUUAACACAUGCAAGUCGAGCGGAGACUUCGGUCUUAGCGGCGAACGGGUGAGUAAUACCUAGGAAUCUGCCUAUUAGUGGGGGAUAACGAAUCGAAAGGUUCGCUAAUACCGCAUACGUCCUACGGGAGAAAGGGGGGGAUCUUCGGACCUCUCGCUAAUAGAUGAGCCUAGGCCGGAUUAGCUAGUUGGUAGGGUAAAGGCCUACCAAGGCGACGAUCCGUAGCUGGUCUGAGAGGAUGAUCAGCCACACUGGAACUGAGACACGGUCCAGACUCCUACGGGAGGCAGCAGUGGGGAAUAUUGGACAAUGGGGGCAACCCUGAUCCAGCCAUGCCGCGUGUGUGAAGAAGGCCUCGGUUGUAAG